rnacentral:rRNA from 1 species
GAAGGUGGCGAGCGUUGUUCGGGAUUUACUGGGGCAUAAAGGGCGAGUAGGCGGUCUGGCAAGCGGGCGUGUGAAAUCCCGGGAGCUCAACUCCGGGAACUGCACACCGAACUGCCAGGCUAGAGGACGAGAGGGGGGUGUGGAACUCUAGGUGUAGCGGUGAAAUGCGUAGAUAUCUAGAGGAACGCCGGUGGCGAAAGCGACACCCUGGCUCGUCCCUGACGCUGAGGCGCGAAAGCGUGGGUAGCAAACAGGAUUAGAUACCCUGGUAGUCCACGCCGUAAACGAUGAGCACUAGGUAGCCGUGGGAACCGACCUAUGGCUGCUGCAGGAAAUCCAUUAAGUGCUCCGCCUGGGGAGUACGGUCGCAAAGGCUG